rnacentral:rRNA from 1 species
UAAGCCAUGCAAGUCUCAGUACAUGCCGCACUAAGGUGAAACCGCAAAAGGCUCAUUAAAUCAGUUAUGGUUCCUUGGAUCUUAAACAGUUACUUGGAUAACUGUGGUAAUUCUAGAGCUAAUACAUGCAAACAAGUCCCGACCAGAGAUGGGAGGGACGCUUUUAUUAGAUCAAAACCGAUCGGCGUCCGGCUCCGGCCGGCGCCGUCUCUUUUGGUGACUCUGGAUAACUUUUAGCCGAUCGCACGGUCACAGUACCGGCGACGCAUCUUUCAAAUGUCUGACUUAUCAACUGUCGAUGGUAGGCUCUGCGCCUACCAUGGUUGUAACGGGUAACGGGGAAUCAGGGUUCGAUUCCGGAGAGGGAGCCUGAGAAACGGCUACCACAUCCAAGGAAGGCAGCAGGCGCGCAAAUUACCCACUCCCGGCACGGGGAGGUAGUGACGAAAAAUAACGAUACGGGACUCAUCCGAGGCCCCGUAAUCGGAAUGAGUACACUUUAAAUACUUUAACGAGUACCAAUUGGAGGGCAAGUCUGGUGCCAGCAGCCGCGGUAAUUCCAGCUCCAAUAGCGUAUAUUAAAGUUGUUGCGGUUAAAAAGCUCGUAGUUGGAUCUGUGUGCCACGCUGUCGGUUCACCGCCCGUCGGUGUCAACUGGCAUGUCUGUGGGACGUCCUGCCGGUGGCGGUACGGGCUGCCGGCGCUGCGUAGGGGCACAACCCCGAAGCACGCCGGCGUGUCCCGGUCCGCCGAUCCAAUCCCGCCGCGGUGCUCUUCACUGAGUGUCGAGGUGGGCCGGCACGUUUACUUUGAACAAAUUAGAGUGCUCAAAUCAGGUCGUAUUUAGGCCUGAAUAUUGUGU